rnacentral:tRNA from 1 species
ACGAUUCCUCUGUAGUUCAGUCGGUAGAACGGCGGACUGUUAAUCCGUAUGUCACUGGUUCGAGUCCAGUCAGACGUU